ACGGCUAUAUCACGUUGAAAUACCGGUUCUCAUACGAUCACCGAAGUUAAGCAACGUUGAACCUUGACAGUACCUAGAUGGGUGACCGCGAACAAAUAUCCUGUGCUGUAAG